rnacentral:lncRNA from 1 species
CCGCGAGACCGCUCCGUCUGCAGAUCCCGGCGGGGGGGGCGGCGCCGGGACCCCCCCUGGGCCCCGUCCUGGGGCAGGUGGGGAUUUCCGGGGCUCUUUGAGGCCCUUCUUGAGGCUUGUUGGGGCUCGUGGGGGCCUAUCGAGGCCUGUCGGGGCCUAUCGGGGCCUAUUGAGGUGUAUGGGAGGCUGUUGAGGCCUGUUGGGGCCUGUUGGGGCCUAUUGAAACCUAGGGGGGCCUAUUGAGGUGUAUGGGAGGCUGUUGAGGCCUAUCGAGGCCUAUCGGGGCCUAUUGAAACCUAGGGGGGUCUAUUGGGGCCUAUCAGGACCUAUCGAGGCCUAUCAGGACCUAUCGAGGCCUAUUGAAACCUAGGGGGGUCUAUUGAGGCCUAUCAGGACCUAUCGAGGCCUAUCAGGACCUAUCGAGGCCUGUCGGGACCUAUUGGGGCUUAUUGAGGCCUAUGGAGGCUUAUGGGGGCCUACUGGGGUGUAUCGGGGUCUAUUGCGGUCUGUCGAGCCUAUCGAAGCCUAUUGAGGCCUAUCGGGACCUGUCGAGGCCUGUCGAGGCCUAUCGGGGCCUAUUGGGGCCUAUCGAGGCCUAUUGGGGUCUAUUGGGGCCUAUUGGGACCUAUCGCGGCCUAUUGAGGCCUAUUGGGGUCUAUCAAGGCCUAUUGGGGCUUAUUGAGAACUAUCGCGGCCUAUCGCGGCCUAUCAAGGUCUAUUGGGGUCUAUCGAGGCCUAUUGAGGCCUAUUGGGGUCUAUUGGGGCCUAUUGGGGCCUAUCGCGGCCUAUCGAGGCCUAUAGGGUCCUAUCGAGGCCUAUUGAGGCCUAUUGGGGUCUAUUG